CUACGGGGGGCUGCAGUCGAGGAUUUUUCUCAAUGGGGGCAACCCUGAAGGAGCGACGCCGCGUGGAGGAUGAAGGGCUUCGGCUCGUAAACUCCUGUCACCGACGAACAAGGCAUCCGGAUUAAUAAAUCGGAUGCUUGAUGGUAGUCGGAGAGGAAGGGGCGGCUAACUCUGUGCCAGCAGCCGCGGUGAUACAGAGGCCCCAAGCGUUGUUCGGAUUUACUGGGCGUAAAGGGUGUGUAGGGGGUCGGGUAAGUUUGACGUGAAAUCCCGUUGCUCAACAACGGAACUGCGUCGAAUACUGCUCGGCUGGAGGUUCGGAGAUGAGGGCGGAAUUCUCGGUGUAGCGGUGAAAUGCGUAGAUAUCGAGAGGAACGCCGAUAGCGAAAGCAGCCCUCAAGACGAAAUCUGACCCUGAAACACGAAGGCCAGGGGAGCAAACGGGAUUAGAUACCCCCGUAGUC
rnacentral:rRNA from 1 species